rnacentral:rRNA from 1 species
UACGGAGGGGGCUAGCGUUGUUCGGAAUUACUGGGCGUAAAGCGCGCGUAGGCGGACCUGCAAGUCGGGGGUGAAAGCCCGAGGCUCAACCUCGGAACUGCCUUCGAUACUGCGGGUCUCGAGUCCGGGAGAAGUGAGUGGAAUUCCUAGUGUAGAGGUGAAAUUCGUAGAUAUUAGGAAGAACACCAGUGGCGAAGGCGGCUCAGCUGGCCCGGUACUGACGCUGAGGCGCGAAAGCGUGGGGAGCAAACAGG